GACGGGAUUUGCUUGCAGCCGAAGUUGGAGACAGAGUCCAGCUCCCGUAGGAGCCCGGACGAAGCUUGUCUGCAGUUGAAGUCGGAGAUGGAGUCUGGCUCCCAUGGGAGUUCGGACGGAGCUAACCGACGGUCGAGGCUGAGGACGGGGCCUGGCUCCCGUGGGAGUCCGGGCGAAGCCUUCCAGCGGUUGAGGUUGGGGGCGAAGUCCGG
rnacentral:lncRNA from 1 species